CGAGUAGUAUUUAGUGAAAUUGUUUUGUAAUAGAAAUUCGAUAAUGUUUUAUAGCACUGACCUUUGCUCUCCCCGAAUGGUAGAUUAUUGUGACUUGUGAGAAUGUAAAUAAAAUUGGAAGUAACAUGAUACUUAUAAGAUAUUGUAACUAAUAAACUCAUUUAAUCUGUAGAAUGUAGAUAUAUUUUUUGCUUCCUU